GUGGCAUUGAUACAUGAUCCAAAAUAUUGUUGUCAAGAUUCUACUACCAAGGUUCCGUAGGCCUAAUAUAGGAUUUAAAUUUUUUUGAAGCCUGGAUAUAAAAAAAAUCUCCUGAAGAUUGGUCCAUUUGUUUCAUGCCUCGUCUGUGAUUCACUUCCACUUAAUCCACAAAGAUUUCUUAUUUUGCUUUAAUUAUUUCAAGGGUUUUCCAUUAAAAGCACGGGUGUGAAGAAAGCGCCAUUCUCAUUACUGCUAUAAAUACUUUCAAAUCAACACAUUUUCUAAGCAUUAAAGAGGGCUUGAAGAAUGUUGGCAAAGAAUAUUUCAUUAAAGACUAAUAACUGUUAAUCGAUUACCAAGCCGUGAGUGAGAACUAAGUGCCACUUGUGCGGAGGUCAGGCCAUAGAUCAAAGACGUCAGUAUGUUUCAUUUGAAGAUGAAACUUUCGUAGAAGACGCAUACUUGAAAAUUAGUUUACAUUUGGGAGCAAUAAAUCUUUAAAGACAUAGAAAAGGCUGGUGAUUGAGGAGAUUGUGAAAUCAAGCUGAUUUCUUAGAAAUCGUGUCUGUUUAAUAUUUCCAUUUAAUUAUAUAUUUCAGUUUCAAAAAAAAAUAUUUUUGACAAUAUUGCGCUCAUUUUUUAAAAUUUUAAAUGCUAGUGCCCUCGAUUUUGAAGAUUGUUUUGAACUCAGAAAUUUUUUUCAUUGUACAGUAAAGCCAUUUAUCUCUCUUUUGUUAUUUUAAUCAUUCUGCUUAACAGUUUUGAGAAACAAUAGCUCCAAAAUCAGAAUUGUUUGAAUCAACAAGAAAUAAGAUUGUUGAAAAAUUGUUUGAGUCCUGCUUCGAAGGAUAGAGAAUAGUGACUUUCUUCUUAUAUAUUCAGUGUACAAAAUAUGUUUUAAAAAUAUAGAAAGAUUCAUAUUCAGUAAUAAAACUGAAAGUGCCAAAUUCUAACACGAAGAACCAAAUAUUAUAAAUUGUUAGAGUGAUUUGUAAUAACUUCAGAACCUCAUUUAAUUUCUUCCACUCGUUAAAGGAAGGAUAUAGAUAGACAGUUUAGAAAUAGUUCAGAAUUCUGUUCAAACAUCAUAUUCCUGUAUAUACAUAAUUUUGGAAAAUAGCUCAUUCGAUGAAUUAUGUAUAAUGCUUCUUCUUGAUAAAUUCAAGCAAACCUCUGAAAUAACCAUAUGUAUUAAAAUGGAAAAUUAACUUAAGAUUAAUAACAGAG